rnacentral:tRNA from 1 species
GUAGGUAUCGUUUAAACAAGACAUCAGAUUGUGAUUCUGAAAAUAAGGGUUAAAACCCCUUUACCCACC